ACCCUCCUGAUUCUGUACCCAUCCAGUCUACACACAGGACUGAGUGGUUAGAAAAGGAGGAAAAGUAAAACUGAGACUGACUUCCAUUCUUGCAUGACACGUGAGCUAGUUUCAGGCAAAA
rnacentral:snoRNA from 1 species